rnacentral:rRNA from 1 species
GACGUACGCUGGCGGCGUGCUUAACACAUGCAAGUCGAACGGAAAGGCCCUGCUUGCAGGGUGCUCGAGUGGCGAACGGGUGAGUAACACGUGGGUGAUCUGCCCCUUAUUUUGGGAUAAGCCUGGGAAACUGGGUCUAAUACUGGAUAGGACCAUGCUGUAGGUGGUGUGGUGGAAAGAUUAGUUUCGGUAAGGGAUGAGCUCGCGGCCUAUCAGCUUGUUGGUGGGGUAAUGGCCUACCAAGGCGUCGACGGGUAGCCGGCCUGAGAGGGUGGACGGCCACAUUGGGACUGAGAUACGGCCCAGACUCCUACGGGAGGCAGCAGUGGGGAAUAUUGCACAAUGGGCGCAAGCCUGAUGCAGCGACGCCGCGUGGGGGAUGACGGCCUUCGGGUUGUAAACUCCUUUCAGCCAUGACGAAGCCCUUGUGGUGACGGUAGUGGUAGAAGAAGCACCGGCUAACUACGUG